CCCAGAGUCCAGGGUCAUUUUAAAAUUGUGAUUACAAAGAUCAUGGGAACAUUCUAAAAUAUUAAAAAUCAUGGCGAUGUAACUGUACUGCGCUCAUUUAUAUCAAAUCUCAGUCUGUCUGUGGAGACAAAUAAGUUUUUAAUUGUUAAAUCUCUCAAUUUCAAAGAUUGGUACCUGACAUAGAAGUGGAAACCCUCCCCAUGGAAAGAAGUGCGUCGGAACUCGUAAGGUAUUUUGGUACAAACUCAUUUUACAGUAGGCCUAAUUAAAGUUUAUGUUCCAUGUGUUGCUUGUGCAUUUACGUCAGUUCAAUUCACCCUUUGUAAUUUAGAUUAUUAUUAUUUUUUUCGAUCCUAAGCAUUUUAUGCCAAUAUUAAUAACUUUUCACUUAGUUUGAAUUCUAUGCGAUUAAAAAAAAAAAAAAUGCUGCUGCUGAUGUCCUUGUCCUGAAGUAAAUCUGAGGCACUGGAUGAGAUGCGUCAGUCACUCACACAAACAAACAGCCUCGCUGUCAUACGCAAGACGCUUCUGUAUCACGGUGACUAAGCGUUUUAUCAAAACCGAGUGACUUUACCGGUCACGAUAAUUCGGUGAUCUCAUCUGACCUAAAUGCGCUCGGUAUUGCUGAGUGAUUGCAACAUGCUGACUCACCUUCAUCAGUUCAGACAGCGAACGCCAGAUGGCGCUGCGAGCGCGCAGGAAGCUUCCAUCCCUCAUCACUUCCAGGAACACGGCCGCUUUUCCUGCCCAAAAUAGCAGGAGGGGAAUCUGUUCUCCCGGGAGGCGGCCUAAAGGGACGGAGGUCUAAGGCAUGAAUCCAAUGAGAAAGCAAGAUGGAUUUGGAACGACAUGAGGCUGUAGGAACAAGCUGAAGAAGUUGAGAAAUACAUGCUGCCUGUUUCCCACUGGAAUGAAAUCUCAUGUGAUAAGAAAUUAUAAAGAAACCGUAAUCUUUACGCAAAACAAUGAAAAGCCCCCUCCGUUGGAGAGAGAGAGAGAGAGGGGGAUGGAAUGAGAAAGAGAGCGAGUGAAACCGAGUGAGUCAUGAGUGCAGCUUUGAACAACAAGGGGAAAUCCUCCUAUUGAGGGGCAUGCGCUGUGGAAACACUGCAUCACUCAUAGAGGACAUUCCUGAGAUGACAGACAUGCACACCUACAGGAGCUCAGGGGUGAAGCCCCCCCCCCCAUGGCGACGGAAAUGGCCCGAGGAAAGGCCUCAUGCUGGAGGGAGAGGGGCCCGGCAGCUCCCUCAACAAUGGAAGUUCUUGGAAGAUUCUAGGAAGGAUCAGACCUGAGGUGAUUCCCUGUGUUUAUGGAGGGCUUUGGUCUGAAGAUGAUCUUUUGAAAUGCUCUGGAAUCCUUGUCAAGAUGUUUUCUUGCUUCUUACUGAACAGCCUCUGGACACAAGCGAAACAUGCACUGACGUGUGUGUGUGUGUGUGUGUGUUCAACCCUCCUACAAAUGUUGCAACUUUUGAUCUUAACAUACACAACAUCAAAUGUGUGAAAUUUAAUGGCUGAACAUAAAGAUUAAAAACACAUAGUUUCUAUGAAAUGUGAUCUGUUUCAGCCAUAAGAAAUAUCGAGUUGUGUGAUUGAAACUAGACUUAAGCAUGAAACUAACUGGGAGCGCUUUCUUUUUCCAGAUGUUGUCUUUUCACAAUGGUCUCGCUUUGGUCGCUUUAGCACCUCUCCGUCUACAACUUCAGAACGGUUCAGGGGCCGGUUGUCUAGAUGACAGCACAUUUACAUGUUUAAAGACUGAAUGCAGACUUCACAAUGCAGAUUGUCAGGAGACAAACCUCGCUUUCAUUCUCUCCAAAGCAUCCAUGACCCAACAGGUUUAAGCACAAAAGAUGAAAGAAGACUAAGUAAUGGAGGUCUAAAACCCGUUCUGACACAUGUUGCAAAACCGUCAGUGCUUCAGCUAAGACUUGCUUGGUGUUCUGAGGGAAAAUGAUAAAGGUCACUUAAAGUCCAAUUUUUUUAUUACAAUUUAAAUGUAUUAAAUUUUUAGUAUUACUUUUUUCCUGUCAUGGCAUAACUGAAUUUUCAUCACCAUUACUCCAGUCUUCAGUGUCACAUGAUCCUUCAGAAAUCAUUCUGAUAUGCUGAUUUGGCGCUCAAGAAAUUCAUUUCCUAUCAUUAUCAGUGCUUAAAACAGUUGAGUUGCUGAUUCAUUUUUGCCUGAAAAUUCAAAAUAACAGCAUUUAUUUGAAAUUGAAAUCUUUUAUAUUGUCAAUUUUUUAUAAAUGUUUGCUGAAUAAAAGCAUUAACUACUUUAAGAAAAUUAAACAUUUAAUUGAUUUCUUCAUUUCUAUAUAUCGAUACAUAUCUAUCUGUCUAUAUAUAUAUAUAUCUUUUUAAGGCACCAUUUAUCAAAUACAAUAAUGUAUUUUAGACAUUUCAUUAAACAUUACAUGAAUCAUACGACUGUGCUACUCUUCAAGAGCCAGUUUGGGCAGUAAGUCAAAUAUUUACCCACAGUGCCUCUGGCAUCGAGAGUUUUUGAAUACUUGUGUGAAUUUGACUUUCAAAUAUUCAUUCGGAUAAUUGUAAAUUAUGUAAUGAGAAAUGACAGGUCCUCAUGACCAUAACACCUUUGAGGUAUGGGAAAAGGAAGGAAGAAAUACAUUGAACCAAAUGAACCAUUUUUACCAGUCACACUAAAAUAUAUGAUUUAUGCUUCUUAAUUCAGUUCACUAUAAAACAAGGCUCAUGCAUAUAAGUUCAUUUACGGGAUUCAUAUGGGGCAAGUUGCUCAGUGCUUCAGUUUGGUAACUCCUACAGUUUUAUUGACCCGCUGUAAUCAGGCCCUUUAGACUUUAAACCUGCCACCCCCUCACAUUGACCCGAAUUCCAUCACUCAAACAUUCCUGCUAUUCUUUAAAGGUUUUAGUCUUGUGCAACUCUGUGUGUGCCAACAAUUUCACCUCUGAAGAAACCACACCUUAAUCUUUAAGUUGUUGUUCUGAUGUGAUUUUCUGCAUGCUGCCAGUAAAAAGAUGCAA